ensembl:lncRNA
CACAAAUUGCAGUUUGGUAUUUUGCUUACAGGCCAGGCAAGGUCAAACUACUAUUAUUAUUGCCCAUCGGCUUUCUGCUGCUCAGACUGCAGAGGUAAUAGUGGGCAUUGUGGAUGGCACAGUGGUUGAAAUGAGAACACACAGAGAGAAAAAGGAGCCAUAAUAUUCACUUGCAACCUCACAGGUACAGUUAUUACUAUUGCCAUUGUUAUUUGUAUAAUCAUUGUAUGCAGGACGAUACGUCAUAGAUGAAGACCCCAGUGAUCACAGUUUUAGAUGUGGCAACUGGAAAUGUAUUUGCUACUCAGCAGUUUUACAAAUGGUGGUUUCUUUUAUGCAGCAUGUUUGAAUGGGUAAUAAUACCAGAGGAAAUGACUACAGCAGAUCCUAAGGAUUCAUUCAGCAUUGACAGCUUGAAACCCAAUAGAACAAAUGGGAAAUCAAGCUCCAUAGUAUGAAGAUGAAGAAGAAUGAAUUCCUCAAAAGGUAAUGAUUUACAUUGGCUAAAUAGGCCCAGGAGUCUCACUGAACCCUAAAAUACCUAGCAUGAAGAGGACAAACAUUCAUCAAACAGCGUAGCUGUGGAAUCUCCAUCCUUGGAGUCAGUGAAGACCACCCUUGGAGUUUGACUGAAGAAUGAAUUGGUGAGGCCCAGAGCAGCCAGUUGGACUGGAUGACCUCUGGAGAUCCCUUCUGACUUAUGAGGUUCUAUGAAUCUGCAAAAGUUAGUGAGAGCUCCUGCACGUGGCUUCCCCUUCCAUUGACAACAUUUCUGCAGAGGAAUGCAACAAAGACUAUUUCUGUUGCAGUCAGGAAGACUAUUUCCUUUUUCAAAAACUAAUGUCAUUGCUUGAGCCCAGCUAUUAAGGUGUUUUCUGUGGUUACCUGUGGUGCUGAAGCAGUGUUAUAGAACAAUUCAAACCUGUUUCCUCAUUCUCAACAACUACCUUGUUCUCUCAUGCUUUGGGUCUCUCCUGUUUGAUUCUUCCUGCACAAGCUGAAGACAAUAUUCAGAUCAGUUUAUCUUUAAAAAGCAGAAAAAAUUGUAAUUUACUUAUUUCAUUUUUUAGUUCUUAUUUCUGCUUUAUAGAAAUUCCUAAGAAGAUAUGGAAAUUAAACAAGCAUGAAGGUCUUUUACUGGGCUGUGAGCACUGACCACAAUUUGAAGGGUAUUUAGUUCCCUGUUUUCCAUCAUGUUUUCUGAAGGUGUAACAAUAAGCAAAGAAGUGACUUUUGUUCCCAUAACUUAAUAGUAAAAAUAAAUUAAUUGAAGUAACCCAGUAUGUACCUUUGACAGAGUUUUAUUUUCCACACCACAGGGAAAUAUCAGCUGGAAUUGUUUCUUAAAUUGAUCCUUUAUUAAACAUUAUUGUCA